rnacentral:rRNA from 1 species
ACUGAGUGGCGGACGGGUGAGUAACGCGUGAGCAACCUGCCCUUCGGAGGGGGAUAGUGUCUGGAAACGGACAGUAAUACCGCAUAACGUAUUUUUACCGCAUGAUAGAAAUACCAAAACUGAGGUGCCGAAGGAUGGGCUCGCGUUGGAUUAGAUAGUUGGUGGGGUAACGGCCUACCAAGUCGACGAUCCAUAGCCGGACUGAGAGGUUGAACGGCCACAUUGGGACUGAGACACGGCCCAGACUCCUACGGAAGGCAGCAG